CGCCGCCUCCUCACUGCGGCACCGCAGGGGACGAACUCACUCUCGCCCUCCGUGACAGAACCCCAACUCCCCUUCUGGAACCGAGGCCAGCCCAGGGUACAGUGAGCUGAGGGUACGCAGCCGGGAGCCCGAAGGCAGCCGACAUCCUCCAUGCCCCUCAGCCACCACCGCCUCCUCACGCCAGACGGCCCCCGACCGCGCGCGGCCGCUCACCGGCUCCAGCGCGCAGUACUUCCGGCAUUGCCAGCUGACGCGAAGCAUGACGCUACCGCGCCUCUAUCACCUGACCGAGGAGGGCGGGAAGGGAGCGGGCGCGUGGAGGAGAAGCGACCGUUGCGCACGCGCCCGUCCGUUGGCUCCGCCUGAGGCGGGACGGGGCGGGAAUGUCAGUCAGCGCAGCGCUGCUCCCUUGUGGCGGCGCGGUGUGGUGCAGGUAGUGCCCGCGGCAGCCCUGCCCAAACCGGCCGUUUCUGAAGGUUCUUUUCUGUGCCGUCCUGAGUGCAUUCGCUGUAACAACUGCACGAAUAGGCGAGAAGAUACGAAGUACACUCUGUUUACGGCUCGUGAAGUAAUAUGGACUGAAAACCACCCUCUGCUCCUCCUCUGUGGUUAUACCAGAUCAGUCGGCACAAGGAUGCUCUUCUUUGAAUAUGCUUCUGAUGUGCUAGUGAAGUGUUCAAGGAUUCCAGAUUUAUCAAGCAUAUUUAGUCAGCUGAAUCUCUGCAGGUGAUCAUAUAAAUGCAUGGUGGUUGAAUGCUAGAGACAUUCCCAGUUUUAUGUCAGCAAAUGUCCUCGGCCCAGUUAUGCCAUCCGUGACACUUGGUACCACAGCUGCUGCCAAUAUAUGUAGUCCCUAAUACAAUAUAGGCAUUGUCUCUGAAGCCUUUACCUUCAAUGAUACCUGGCAAGAGAAAUAAUCUGAGCAAGACACAGAUUGAACAGGUGGUCAACAAGCUGUUUUAAAACCCAGCUUUUGGGCACAGAAAGCCAUGCUCAACAGGUGGAGAAGGCAGCCACCAGUGGGUUAUGGGGGUUUUCCAGGAGGUUGAGACCUGUGCUGGUAAUGUUUAACACCCCUAUCGCCAGGUUGGAUGAGGAAACCCUGCUCGGGCCUCUGGAUGACACCACAGUGAGGGCAGCAGCUGAAAGGCUGCAGGACUGAGCUCCAUGAGGAGCCUCAACACCCUGCUGUGGCUGAGUGGAGCCUCACCAAGGCCAGCAAAGACACGUCAAAUGGGAAAUCUGUACCUGGAAGAGACUAACUCUGCAUAUUGCCUGCUACAUCACUGUAGGCUGGGGACUCCCUGGAUGGCAGCUUUGCAGGGGUUAAAUAAUGCAGAGAAUGAAACACAUAUUAGAUGGCAGGAUCCAUUUCCAGAUUACACGCCUCCUUUAAUAAACUUGCAUGCUACGUCGUACUUGAUACAGAAUCCCACAAUUCUGCUCAUUUCCCACUAGAUGUCCCCAUUGACACAAAGAAAAGUGGAAGGGUAACUGUCAAAUAGACUUCAGACUUCUCUUCGUUGUGACCAUUUCCUGGAGCGGAAGGGACCAAGAUGUGACUGUCUGGCUAUUUGACUGCAACCCACUUCUGUGCCUGGCUUGGUUUGAUGACAUAUACCAAAUGUAGCCAUGACCACGACAUGGUUUUGGCAGACUUAGAAGCCUAAGAUUGCUGUAUUAAAAUGCUUCUUAAUCCUCCAGAAACUCAAGGACAUACCUGCCAAUUAAAAAGAACUUCAGUUGGAAGCUGAGGAAGAAUCACCUGUUACAUUUGCUGGGCGAUAUGAAAAAAAGAUAAGAUGGCCACAAUCAUCCAAAAGAAUCAAGGAAUCACAGAAUCAUGGAACAGAUGAAGUUGAAAGGGAUCUCUGGAGACCAUGUGGUCCAACCUCCCCGCACAGGCAGGAUCACCCAAAGAUGCUUGCCAAGGCCAACAGGAACUGAUCAACCUGGAAUUGGCUCUAGCAGUCAAAAGCUACUAGCUUGUCUCUGCUUCUGGCUGGAUUUGGGACAAUCUCCAGACGAAGAGGAGCAGUGUCAGAAUGCACACAGCAGACAACAAAUAAGAAACAACAACCCAAACUGCUCUCACACACUGGCCAUGUUCUCUCUGACUGGAAGGACCACCUCAGCCCUUUGUGAAGCCUGAGAACAUGUUUGCUUUCAGCUGCCAUGUCAAGAGGGAAUAUUUUACUAGAAGCAGUGAGGAGACACCACCACCAAAAGAGAACUGCAGAAAAGGAACAGCAGUCAUUUGGGUGUUCAUGUUCAAUAACAAUGAAACAAGAAUGAGAUUUUAAAAGCAUUGGAAGCAUACAUGCACCAGGGUUAGUAGGAUGGUUCUUCUAUUGUAGUACAGAUCAGACAAAUCGUGCAGACAAAUGAUCUUUGGCUUUCAAAGAUACGUCACAGGAUCAAGAGAGGAUUUAUGAAGGGGUUCCAGGCUACAGUCCUAGCAACCCUAGGGAAUAAUGCUGUCAUUUUGGAAAUGUGUCAGAGAACAGAGAACUACACUGCAUCAUUAUGUCUUCACUCAUCCAAAACAGAAACCUUAGAUAAGUGAAAUAAGUCUGUGAUGAGGAUAAACACGCUAUCGUAUGAUAAGAUUUCAGGAAUUUAUCCAGACAUCCAGAACAACGACAGACAGGAUAUAUGAAAAGAAUGAGUCUCUGUAUUUACUGUCUGAAAUAACAUUUGGAUGGUGUCUCUUGCUUGUGUACACUCCAGGAUUUUCCAAGUCCUGCUCCCCUGGCCUUCAGAAAGCCAGAGGUCAAAGUAACAUAUAAAAAUCUGAAUGAAUAUUAAGAUUUGAGCAUUUCUCACCUCCUGGUAAAAGAAACAAACAAAUAAACCUUAUUCUUCAGUACACUUUCUGGAAAAGACCUAUCCAUUGCAAUGUAGCCCGUCAGUCCAUCCAUUAUGCAUUAUGCUUAGUCCUAUGCUGUUUCUAGCAUUUCUUGUUUCUCUCUUUAGAGAGAUCUUAGACACAUUACUCUAGAACUGACUUAAAAAAAAAAUAAAAUCUAGAUUCGAAGUCUUUCUUGCUUCAUGAUGCUUAAAAGCUUCUUUGUCUGUUAUUUCUUCUAGCUUAGGCAACGUCACAGGUUCUGCUCAAGGAAGUGAAUAACCAGGAUUUUUGGAAGAAAUCUUUAACAGUCCCAAAGAACUCCAAGCUAUAAAAUAUGGGGUACCAUUGGGCAUGCAAAUUAAUUUACAGAUGAGUCCAAAGUAGUUUCAGUUAUUUGCAGUGUAAUACAUGGCUGCUCAGUUGAAGAAAUAAACUUGGAACAACAAGCAGUACUAAUUACCUAUAUCCUCCUGUAACCAACACUUGUCCUUUUCAGACUAUUUAUCUAAAUUGCUUGGCAGCUCAGCUGUCUCUCUCCCGUCUCCUGAGGAAUACUAUCACAUGCAAUAUGGCACGCAGAAACAAUUUAUAUGCCAGGCAAAUUAUUUCCGCAGCAGUAUUCCUCAUAAUGUGCUUACAGUUGCAUCCCAUCGAAAGGUAAGUAUCAUAAUUUGUGACUGCUAUAGAAGUCUUCCUUGACACUUUUUGAGAAAUAUAACCAGAAUCAUGGCAAAGCUUCAGCUUUGGUAAUUGCAUUCUGUGCAUCUGUAGUUCUUUUCUAACAGCUGACAAAUUCUACCUUAGAUGCGACUGGUGCCAUCUCCAGAUUCCAGGAAGCUGUUAAAUCAAAGAACAAACUUCAGAAUGAGAAAAAUAAUUACAAGCCUUAUUUCCCUUACUUCUCACGUCUUUGCCUACAGGUAUUUCUGCAGUCUUGUUAAGCCCAUAGAAUCCCAUCGCAGCAAUUGCUGGACUCAGUAGAAACCACAGAAGUAUCUCUCUGAGAACAUUUCUCUCUUUGAUGAGGACUGAUCAGGAACCCAGAAAGAAUACCUUUGGUACAUUAAAGCUCAGUUCCCUCAGCCUACGCCAGAAACACAGUAUCAUUUAGCUACCUGCCACUUAUAAGUUUCUAAAAAGUAGCUAAAAAGGCAGACCCACAGUGACACAGAUAAUAGCAACAAAUAUUAUCUUCUGACAAUCAAAUCCAAAUGGAGUUUUUCUAAAAUACACAAGACUUGUAAUGAACUAUGCAUAAUUUCCCAUUGCAGCGUUUUCACGAGGUAUGAUUUCCUAUUGAGCAAAAUUAAAACAAAAAAUUGAUCUGAAAAAGCUACUAAGGCAACAGCUCCAACAAAGAAAAUAAGAGUUAUCUGACACACAUGAGAACUGAUAGAAAAACAGCACUGAGUGACAUAAACAGCUUUCUAUCCUUGGGACUUCAGGUCUACUAACUUCAAACAACUUGGAAUGGAGUACAGCAUGCUAUGAGAAGCACUCCUUUAAACAAAGAAUUAAACAAAGAAAAACAAAACCUGAACCAUUAUGAGGUGCUGUCUUUAUUGCAUGCCAAUAGAAUGUCCUUGCUCAGCUUAUCAACUUUCAAAAAAGCCCCAACCAUGACAUUAGCAGCAGCAACUCUGCAAGCUAAGACCUGAAUAACUCAUCACUUGCUCACGCCUGCAGGCUGAGCACUUGUCAUAGUGUCAGGUAUUGAAAAGGCUGGCAAUUUGCUGCAAACGUGAGUGCUGGAUGUACAAUAGCCAUCUCAAGUUAUUUUUUCUUAUUUUCAGAAAACAAUUUUCUGGGCCAUUUAAGUUGGAAAUGUCACCAUUCAAACAUGAAGCAAAUAACGCUGCUCUAAGAGAGCAUCACUUCUCUUUCGAUUAAAUGAUGGCAAAUAAAACACUAUUUUUACAUCACAUCAUAAAAUGUAUAAGAUUUGCUUUAAACCAGCGAAAUUCAAUCACAUAUUGGAAAUUAAGUUAAUACUGGAGAAGGUUAGCAUAGCUGAAUCAGGAUCUUUCAAGGCAAAGUUGCUCUGGUCAGUAGGACUGAGGCUGAGGAGGUGCGGUCAUCCCUCUUCUGUGUCUCUUAACAGAGGUUGUAGAUGUCAGUGUUUCUCAGCCUAAUUUCCUUUUUGUUCUUGCCUGUUUGAACAAAGCAAACAAAAAGCUGUGUACUAAAGCAAGACCUCACUGCUAAAAAGUCAAGCAUGGUCCUUUUUGGGAAUGCAGAGUUAACCUGGGAAGGGUAAGCAUUCAAAAAUACUGAGAACUGUCCCAAAACCAAUACUGACCUAUAUAAUAUAAUAGGUUUUGAUUACUGAGGCAUGAAUUUAAGUUCUGAUUUAAGUGAAUAGGCUCAGAGCCAAAGCUAUCAAUGGAAUUAUAUCUGCUUAUGCUGCUGGGAAGUUCUGCUCUUUGCACAGCAAUCAGUGAGUUGUAAAAUGAGGACUUAAUGUUACUUGCUUGGACUCAUUUCAAAAGCAAUUGCUGCACCUGUUCAUACCAAUGCAUACACAACAAUUUCCUUUAUUUUUCCCAGUAACCAGCACAAUAAAACCUGAAUUUAAAUCAUAAAGCUUUGAUUUACAUUCCUAAUUAUUUAUUUAUUCUUUAAUAACCACUUGCUUUCCAAAAGGCAUUUUUUUCCUAAAAUGAAAUAUAUAUAUAAAAAA